rnacentral:misc_RNA from 1 species
GAUGAAGAACGCAGCGAAAUGCGAUAAGUAAUGUGAAUUGCAGAAUUCAGUGAAUCAUCGAAUCUUUGAACGCACAUUGCGCCCGUCAGUAUUCUGGCGGGCAUGCCUGUUCGAGCGUCAUUACGCCCCUCAAGUCCCCUGUGGACUUGGUGUUGGGGAUCGGCGAGGCUGGUUUUCCAGCACAGCCGUCCCUUAAAUUAAUUGGCGGUCUCGCCGUGGCCCUCCUCUGCGCAGUAGUAAAACACUCGCAACAGGAGCCCGGCGCGGUCCACUGCCGUAAAACCCCCCAACUUUUUAUAGUUGACCUCGAAUCAGGUAGGACUACCCGCUGAUCUUAAGCAUAUCAAUAAGCGGAGGA